rnacentral:rRNA from 1 species
UACGUAGGGUGCAAGCGUUAAUCGGAAUUACUGGGCGUAAAGCGUGCGCAGGCGGCUUUGCAAGACAGAUGUGAAAUCCCCGGGCUUAACCUGGGAACUGCAUUUGUGACUGCAAGGCUAGAGUACGGUAGAGGGGGAUGGAAUUCCGCGUGUAGCAGUGAAAUGCGUAGAUAUGCGGAGGAACACCGAUGGCGAAGGCAAUCCCCUGGACCUGUACUGACGCUGAGACGCGAAAGCGUGGGGAGCGAACAGG